GACAGAGGGUGCAAACGUUGCUCGGAAUCACUGGGCGUAAAGGGCGUGUAGGCGGGAAGGAUAGUCAGAUGUGAAAGCCCUGGGCUCAACCCAGGAACUGCAUUUGAAACUCCCUUUCUUGAGUGUCGGAGAGGAAAGCGGAAUUCCUGUGUAGAGGUGAAAUUCGUAGAUAUCAGGAGGAACACCGGUGGCGAAGGCGGCUUUCUGGACGACAACUGACGCUGAGACGCGAAAGCGUGGGGAGCAAACAGG
rnacentral:rRNA from 1 species